ensembl:miRNA
UGAACUAGAACUGCUCUGUGAAUUAGGUAGUUUCAUGUUGUUGGGCUUUAAAUUUUAAACACAAGAACAUCAAACUACCUGAUUUACUCCAGUUA